rnacentral:lncRNA from 1 species
AUGGAAAUCACUUGUUACAUGAGGAGGGUUGUGAUUCUGCAACUGCAACUCUUGUGUUUCUUGGAAGCCCAACAUUUUUGUGGUGCUGAUCCUACUCAUGGGUUCACUCCUGUGCAAUUGACUGAACACGACCGCAGGUACCAUGUAACAAAUCUCCGGCGGAUCGUUACAGCAACGUGGAUGGAGUUGAGAAGGUUUUGGGUCUCUACGCCAAUGAUAUAAGCCCUUUAAAAAGCACAGUCCAACCGGACCACGCACAGAAAUAAGAAUUUCUGUAUGUAUUAUUCUUUCCCCUCCUCUCUAUCUCUAGGCUAAUACCCUUUUCAAACUAAGUACCAAAUUAAUUUUCUUGUCGUAAAUAUAGUGUAUCAAAGUUGUGUUUAUGGCCCACGAACGUCUUCGAGUUCAUGAUGCGAGAAACACUUGUGUGAUGCCAUUCUUUUUACGUGACAGUGACAUUAUUAAAUUAAUGACAGAAUAAUUCAAUUAAAAGAUGACAUGUUUCCACAAAAUAAAAACUUCUCAUUAAAUUUGAACAUAUGACAUUUUUGAGUGUUUAUAAGUGUAGAAUGUUAUAUCAAAAUGUGUGUUUGAAACAAUAUAUUGUCUUUGAUAUUCACAAUUCCUAAAAAGUUGCAUCUCUUGUUUUCCUAGGGGCAUGGUUACACUUAAGGAGUUUGGCAAUUUGAAGACCAUUUUUUAGUGCCCCAGCGUAGUUCCGGCGUUACAAUAAUGCAGAUCUUUGGUGCAGCCCAUCAAGCUACAACCCCACAAUUAAGGGUGUGCGAUGGGGACUUGAAGUACUACACACACAAUGUGGUGGCUGCAAAUAUCUAUAAUAAAUGGUUCAGACUGAAUGUGAUUCACAAUGUUGGUGCAAGGAAGGUGACGAUUUUUAUCGACGGAGAAAAAAAGUUAGUUGUAAAAGAUCACAGUCGAGCUACCUUCUAAUUCAAAUAUGGAGUUUAUGCAGCCCCAUCUGGUUCAUCUCAUUACAUGGAAAGAAUCAAGGUGGAGGGGGAUCAAGCUUUUCAAAAAGU